rnacentral:rRNA from 1 species
UGGGAGGCAGCCUGAUCAGCCAUGCCGCGUGAGUGAUGAAGGCCUUAGGGUUGUAAAGCUCUUUCAGCUGUGAAGAUAAUGACGGUAGCAGCAGAAGAAGUCCCGGCUAACUCCGUGCCAGCACCCGCGGUAAU